UACGUAGGGUGCGAGCGUUGUCCGGAAUUACUGGGCGUAAAGAGCUCGUAGGUGGUUUGUCGCGUUGUUCGUGAAAACUCACAGCUUAACUGUGGGCGUGCGGGCGAUACGGGCAGACUGGAGUACUGCAGGGGAGACUGGAAUUCCCGGUGUAGCGGUGGAAUGCGUAGAGAUCGGGAAGAACAUCGGUGGCGAAGGCGGCCUGCUGGGCGUCUGCUGACACUGAGGCGCGACAGCGUGGGGAGCAACAGG
rnacentral:rRNA from 1 species